rnacentral:rRNA from 1 species
GGUCGAAGGGAGAAAUUCAUUCGCGUUUCGCCGCAGGCGUCGGGCGGACGAGCGACGGGAACGCGCGUUCGCGCGCGUUUACCGCGCUUUCCGUCUUCGAACCGGCGGCGAACGCGUGCACUUUUCUCCCGGUAGGACGUCGCGAUCCGUUGGGCGUCGGUCUAAGGCGCGCGGUGGAGCCCGCCCGUACGUUUCGGCGUACGGGCGGACCCGCGCGUCCCGGCCGACCCGCCCGACGGUAUACGAAAGGUUUAAGGCCGCUCGCUAUUUGGAGCGUUCGGCUCGCGGCAAGCGCGUCGGGUGCGUCGGCGAUCGGACCCGGUGCCGAUUCUGACCCCCGGCGACUGUUGGCCGCGAAGCUCUCGAACAGACCUUCGGACCGAUCCGCGACGCUAUAGCUUUGGGUACUUUCGGGACCCGUCUUGAAACACGGACCAAGGAGUCUAGCAUGUGCGCGAGUCAUUGGGAAUCGCUAAACCUAAAGGCGCAAUGAAAGUAAAGGUCCUCCUCGCGAGGACCGAGGGAGGACGGGCGGUUCGCCCUUAAAAGCGGCCGCCCCGCACUCCCGGGGCGUCUCGUUCUCAUCGCGAGAAGAGGCGCACCAAGAGCGUACACGCUGGGACCCGAAAGAUGGUGAACUAUGCCUGGUCAGGACGAAGUCAGGGGAAACCCUGAUGGAGGUCCGUAGCGAUUCUGACGUGCAAAUCGAUCGUCGGAACUGGG